rnacentral:rRNA from 1 species
AGAAGAUACUAAGGGCGCACGGCGGAUGCCUUGGCACAGGAAGUCGAAGAAGGACGCGGCAAGCUGCGAUAAGCUCCGGGGAGGCGCAAACGGCCUUCGAUCCGGAGAUCUCCGAAUGGGGGAACCCAGCAGGGGUCAUGCCCUGCUACCCGCGCCUGAAUGAAAUAGGGCGCGAGGAGGCAACCCGGGGAACUGAAACAUCUAAGUACCCGGAGGAAGAGAAAUCAACCGAGAUUGCGGGAGUAGCGGCGAGCGAAACCGCACCAGCCCAAACCCAUGCACGUGCAAGCUUGAGGGCGUUGCUGCAUGAGGGGUUGUGGGACCGCGCAUUCCAUGGGCCUCAGACCAUGGACGCAGUUACAAAUCCGCGCGGAAGCGGAACGGCCUGGGAAGGCCGGCGGAACAGGGUGAGAGCCCCGUACGCGAAUCCGCGCGGACUGCGAGUGCGGCGCCCGAGUAGCGCCGGGCACGUGAAACCCGGUGCGAACCUGGGGGGACCACCCUCCAAGGCUGAACACUCUCCUGUGACCGAUAGCGAACCAGUACCGUGAGGGAAAGGUGAAAAGCACCCCGAGAGGGGAGUGAAACAGUACCUGAAACCGUGCGCCUACAAGCAGUCGGAGCCCCCGAGCGGGGUGACGGCGUGCCUUUUGUAGAAUGAGCCAGCGAGUUGCGGUAUGCGGCGAGGUUAAGGUUUGAACCGAGCCGCAGUGAAAGCGAGCCUUUAAGAUGGCGAUAGAGUCGCAUGCUGCAGACGCGAAGCCGGGUGAGCUAUCCAUGGGCAGGCUGAAGCGGGGGUAAGACCCCGUGGAGGGCCGAACCCACUUCGGUUGAAAACGGAGGGGAUGACCCGUGGAUAGGGGUGAAAGGCCAAUCAAACCCGGAGAUAUCUCGUUCUCCCCGAAAUAGCUUUAGGGCUAGCCUCGGCCGUUCUCCGACGGCGGUAGAGCACUGGAUCGUCGAGGGGGCUUCACCGCCUACCGACACGAACCAAACUCCGAAUGCCGCCGGAUCAGAGGCCGGGAGUCAGAACAUGUGGGCUAAGCUGUGUGUUCGAGAGGGAAACAGCCCAGACCGCCCGCUAAGGUCCCCAAGUUUAUGCUGAGUGGCAAAGGAUGUGCGUUUGCCUAGACAACCAGGAUGUUGGCUUAGAAGCAGCCAUGCAUUUAAAGAGUGCGUAACAGCUCACUGGUCGAGUGGACAUGCGCCGACAAUACACGGGGCUAAGCAUAACACCGAAGCGGCGGACUAAUCUAUAUUAGUGGUAGGGGAGCUUUCCCCGCAGCGGAGAAGCCGAGAGGGCGACCCUCGGUGGAGCGCGGGGAAGUGAGAAUGCUGGCAUGAGUAACGAGAGCGGCGCGAGAAACGCCGCCGCCGUAAGCCUAAGGGUUCCUGGGCAAGGCUAAUCCUCCCAGGGUCAGUCGGGAGCUAAGGCGAGGCCGAGAGGCGUAGCCGAUGCGCAACAGGCGGACAUUCCUGUACCGCCUGCGGACCGCUAUCACCGACGGGGUGACGGAGAAGGGUAGCCGAGCGGGGUUCUGGACGUCCCCGUGAAAGCGCGUAGGGAGCAUCGCAUGGAAAUCAGCGGCGCACGUAUCCUGAGACGCGAGACGAAAGCUUAUGCUGAAGUCGGCGAGCCCAUGCUUCCGAGAAAAACCUCUAGGAAGGGACGCAGGCGCCCGUACCAAAACCGACACAGGUGGGCAGGUAGAGCAUACCGAGGCGAUCGGGAGAACCAUGGUUAAGGAACUCGGCAUACUGACUCCGUAACUUCGGGAGAAGGAGUGCCCCUGGCGGUGACGGGACUAGCUCCCCGAGCGGCCGGGGGUCGCAGCGAAACGGCCCAAGCGACUGUUUAUCAAAAACACAGGACUCUGCAAAGCCGUAAGGCGACGUAUAGGGUCUGACGCCUGCCCGGUGCUGGAAGGUUACGCGGAUGGGUCAGCCGAAAGGCGAAGCUCUGAAGCCAAGCCCCAGUAAACGGCGGCCGUAACUAUAACGGUCCUAAGGUAGCGAAAUUCCUUGUCGGGUAAGUUCCGACCUGCACGAAUGGCGUAA